AUCGAACGCUGGCGGCAAGCCUAACACAUGCAAGUCGAACGAGUGGCGGACGGGUGAGUAAUGUCUGGGAAACUGCCUGAUGGAGGGGGAAAACUACUGGAAACGGUAGCUAAUACCGCAUCCCAUCGGAUGUGCCCAGAUGGGAUUAGCUAGUGGGUGGGGUAAAGGCUAACCUGGGCGACGAUCCCUAGCUGGUCUGAGAGGAUGACGUGCCACAUUGGAACUGGGAAACGGUCCAGACUCCUACGGGAGGAAGCAGUGGGGAAUAUUGCACAAUGGCCGCAAGCCUGAUGCAGCACUGCCGCGUGUAGAAAGAAGGCCUUCGGGUUGUAAAGUACUUUCAGCGGGGAGGCGUUACCCGCAGAAGAAGCACCGGCUAACUCCGUGCCAGCAGCCGCGGUAAUAC
rnacentral:rRNA from 1 species